rnacentral:lncRNA from 14 species
AAUACCUCUCCCUGUCACCGAGAAUCAAGGAAGCCCUUCCUAAAGAUAAAACCAUGUAAAACAGCGGAUAAGGUACAUGUCCAAGAGGUGGCAAACUGAGAAGGGAGGUAUAGAGCACACCUUCUACAUGGUUUGCCUGUCUCCUGAAGGAAUUGGAUCUCUGAACUCAAGCAAAACUUCAUUGGACAGAGCCACCUCCUGUGUCUUCUAGAAGUUCACCGUAUCUCCUGUCAAUGUUCUUCAUUACCUGGAAGAAGAGGGCAUGAGAAUGAAAAAGAAGCUGAACCCUAUAUAUUGAAGAUGGGAAUAAAAGAAGCUAAUUUUAACUGUUAAGCA